rnacentral:rRNA from 1 species
AACGAACGCUGCCGACAGGCUUAACACAUGCAAGUCGAGCGCCUCGCAAGGGGAGCGGCAGACGGGCGAGUAACGCGUGGGGAUGUGCCUGGUGGUAUGGAACAACUCAGGGAAACUUGAGCUAAUACCGUAUAAGCCCUUCGGGGGAAAGAUUUAUCGCCACCAGAUCAACCCGCGUUGGAUUAGCUAGUUGGUGAGGUAACGGCUCACCAAGGCGACGAUCCAUAGCUGGUCUGAGAGGAUGAUCGGCCACACUGGGACUGAGACACGGCCCAGACUCCUACGGGAGGCAGCAGUGGGGAAUAUUGGACAAUGGGCGCAAGCCUGAUCCAGCCAUGCCGCGUGAGUGAUGAAGGCCUUAGGGUUGUAAAGCUCUUUCACUGGGGAAGAUAAUGACGGUACCCAGAGAAGAAGCCCCGGCUAACUUCGUGCCAGCCGCCGCCGUAACAC